UACAAAAAUUGAAAAUGCCCCCUCCUAAACUGAAACCGCUGGUACCGAACAUGAAAUCACAAAUAAAUAAAUCUAGUGCGGGACUGGAAAAACCCACUGGGGAGCCGACAAAACCCAAUUCAGUACCAACCAAACUUAAUGCAUUAUCAACCAAACCUAAUGCAUUAUCAACCAAACCUAAUGCAUUACCAACCAAACCUAAUGCAUUACCAACCAAACCUAAUGCACUACCAACCAAACCUAAUGCAUUACCAACCAAAUCUAAUGCACUACCAACCAAAUCGAAUGCACUACCAACCAAAUCUAAUGCACUAUUAACCAAACCCAAUACACUACUAACCAAACCCAACACAGUUCCAACCAAACUAAAUAUGACAGAAACAAAACUACCACAACAAAUGACAAUGCAGAAAAUGAAUAUACCAGAGAGUAAAAUUAAAACGAUGCCACCGAAAUCAAAAUUCAUAGCAGCAACCAAAGAAAAAAUACCAAAUCAAAAAGUGCCAGAAUCAAAAGCUAAUCUUAAAAAUACACUUACAGAAGAUAUAUCUAAUCUUACUAAAAAAAUAUCUUUUAAUUUAGUUAAAAAUGGAGAAGAUAAUACAAUGAAAACAGUUCCUACUGGAAAAAAUACAUUUUUAGAAAAAACAAAUAUGCCUAUUAUAUUAAAAAACGAAUAUGUCAUACCUAAACCUAAUAAUAUUUUAUCUGAAAAUUCAGCAUCUACAGUUUUGGACAAUGGAUCAGUAUUAAAUAAUUUAACAAACAAAAGUUCUAAAGAGUUGAAUGAUUUUUCUAUGAAGAAAAAAAUAUUAUUAACAGACCAUUCCAAAUCGAUUAAUAAUGAAAAUAUAACAGAUGUUUCAAGUAGUGUGAUAAAUAAACAUUUAAAUAUUGAUUCAUCCUACUUAAAUUUGAAUGAUAAUACAACUGACUUUCCUAAUAAUGCAAUUAAAAAUAAUAAUAGCAAUAAUAAUAAUAAUAAUGUAAUGAUUGCAAUGCAAGAUAAAGGAAACAACAUAGGACCUUUAUCAACUUAUAAAGAUAGUAGUUUAAUUCAAAAUAUGCAUUAUAUAAAUGCAUUUUCCAGAGCAAACGGUAAUUAUUUAGGUAAAGUCACAGGCCCACCACCUACUUC
rnacentral:lncRNA from 1 species